CAGUAGCCGCGGUAAUACGAGGGGGGCAAGCGUUGUUCGGAAUUAUUGGGCGUAAAGGGCGCGUAGGCGGUUUGACAAGUCUUGUGUGAAAUCUCUGGGCUCAACCCAGAGUCUGCACGGGAAACUGUCGGGCUAGAGGAUGGGAGAGGUGAGUGGAAUUUCCGGUGUAGCGGUGAAAUGCGUAGAUAUCGGAAGGAACACCUGUGGCGAAAGCGGCUCACUGGACCAUUACUGACGCUGAGGCGCGAAAGCUAGGGGAGCAAACAGGAUUAGAUACCCGUGUAGUCCCUGUCUCUUAUAA
rnacentral:rRNA from 1 species